AAUAAAAAUAUGAACAUGCAAUAAAGAGAAUGAUUCAAUUGACAAAAGAAAACAAUGGAUGAAUGGAGUUGUUGGGGGUUUACAAUUUCAUCUUAUCCACACUCUCUUAUUUACUCCUCUUGAAUUAUUAGUUUGAUUAAUUAAUUGUCAUGCAACUUUCUUAGCCUACCCUUAACCCGAUCCCUCAGCGAAAAGAGCCUAAUACUAAUUACUGGCUUGCUA
rnacentral:lncRNA from 1 species